GUGCACGGACCCCCAGCUUGGCCCUGUGCACCAGCAGGGUGAGCCCACUUGCUUGGGAGCCCCUGGCCUGGCAACAGAGUGGCUUCAGGGAACAGGCAGGACGGUGCAGACCCAAGUCCUCAGACCAGCAUUUGAGAUGCUCUGUCCCUCAGAGGUCACACUCCAGUGUUGACAGGUGCAGGCCUGCCAUCUCAGGGCUGCUGAGAAUGUCAAGAGCAAAGGGACCACAUUCCCGUCUACACAGUCAGACUCGAGCCACCUGCCUGUCUCCUGCAAGGAAUGAAAAUAUGUAAUGACAACUGCAUGUGCAGAGCUGCCCUCGAUAGUCGACCCAGAUGCUCUGAAGUCAUUCUUGGCUGUAAAGUUUGCAGUGGCACAUCUGCUUACACGAAAAAGGAAGGCCGGAAAGAGUGAAGAAAGAAAAUGGUGAUCCUUUCCAAGGACAGGCAAGCAUGCCCGAUGGACAUCAGAAGUGCAAAAUUAUGUUCCUGCAGGCUCCAGAAUAGCUUUCCUCUGACAUUUUGGGUUUUAAUGGAUUCCAGAAACAUUAAAAUUUCGCUGCAGUCAGAACAGGAUGUUUAACUUUCGUCCUUUAUGAAAAAAAAAACGAUGCAUUCACUAAUCUCUUCAUUCACUGGAAAUAUGUGGGAAACAACGUGAAACGGACUAAAAAAAAAAGCCAACAUAAAAAUUCUGUUGCUAAAUAUGAGCAACCAACAGGAGGGCUGCACAAUAUGGCUGGAAUCAAUAACAACACUUGGGAGAUGAACC